rfam:Triticum aestivum genome assembly, contig: Triticum_aestivum_CS42_TGACv1_scaffold_031415_1BL
UGUGUACUCCCUCCGUCCGAAAAUACUUGUCAUCAAAAUGGACAAAAAGAGAUGUAUCCAGAACUAAAAUACAUCUAGGUACAUCCCCUUUUAUUCAUUUUGAUGAAAAGUAUUUUCGGGCGUAGGGAGUAUGAU